CAGCGACCCUGCUGCGCAGGCGUAGUGUGACUCAGCGGCCGGCAGGGCGGAGGGCGAGACUUUGCGCAGCGCGGCUCCUCCCCCCCGCCCCUCACUGCGCCGGGGCUAUGAUCGUUUUAUGUGGCUGAGCAAGCCGUGGCUCUGCUACUUCUACAUCCCUGACUAUACUGAAUGGAAGUUUCAAGGAAGAUCCAUCAUACCAACUUUCUUUGAUGUUGACUUGAACCCUAUUAAUUUGUGUUUGUCAGGUUCAACUCCAGCCAUGGUUUCCCAGUGGAGGUUGAUGCGGAUACCAGCAUCUUCCAGCUCAAGGAGGUGGUUGCUAAGCAACAGGGAGUUCCAGCUGACCAGCUGCGUGUGAUUUUUGCAGGGAAGGAGCUUAGGAAUGACUUGACACUGCAGGAUGAAACACAGAAUCUGCUGUAUAGGUCUAACUAGACAGAUAAUCUGUAGCCCAGCUCAUUACAGAGUAACACACAACCUGUAACUUAGGUAUGUAAAUAAAGGAUGAAUUGCUUCUCACA